rnacentral:rRNA from 1 species
UGCAGUCGAACGAUGAUCCCAGCUUGCUGGGGGAUUAGUGGCGAACGGGUGAGUAACACGUGAGUAACCUGCCCUUGACUCUGGGAUAAGCCUGGGAAACUGGGUCUAAUACCGGAUAUGACCAUCUGGCGCAUGUCAUGGUGGUGGAAAGCUUUUGCGGUUUUGGAUGGACUCGCGGCCUAUCAGCUUGUUGGUGGGGUAAUGGCCUACCAAGGCGACGACGGGUAGCCGGCCUGAGAGGGUGACCGGCCACACUGGGACUGAGACACGGCCCAGACUCCUACGGGAGGCAGCAGUGGGGAAUAUUGCACAAUGGGCGAAAGCCUGAUGCAGCGACGCCGCGUGAGGGAUGACGGCCUUCGGGUUGUAAACCUCUUUCAGUAGGGAAGAAGCGAAAGUGACGGUACCUGCAGAAGAAGCGCCGGCUAACUACGUGCCAGCAGCCGCGGUAAUACGUAGGGCGCAAGCGUUAUCCGGAAUUAUUGGGCGUAAAGAGCUCGUAGGCGGUUUGUCGCGUCUGCUGUGAAAGACCGGGGCUCAACUCCGGUUCUGCAGUGGGUACGGGCAGACUAGAGUGCAGUAGGGGAGACUGGAAUUCCUGGUGUAGCGGUGAAAUGCGCAGAUAUCAGGAGGAACACCGAUGGCGAAGGCAGGUCUCUGGGCUGUAACUGACGCUGAGGAGCGAAAGCAUGGGGAGCGAACAGGAUUAGAUACCCUGGUAGUCCAUGCCGUAAACGUUGGGCACUAGGUGUGGGGGACAUUCCACGUUUUCCGCGCCGUAGCUAACGCAUUAAGUGCCCCGCCUGGGGAGUACGGCCGCAAGGCUAAAACUCAAAGGAAUUGACGGGGGCCCGCACAAGCGGCGGAGCAUGCGGAUUAAUUCGAUGCAACGCGAAGAACCUUACCAAGGCUUGACAUGAACCGGUAAUACCUGGAAACAGGUGCCCCGCUUGCCGUCGGUUUACAGGGGGUGCAUGGUUGUCCUCCCCUCCGUGCCUGGAAAUGUUGGGUUAAGUCCCGCAACCAAGCGCAACC